UACACUGUUAUAAAAAAAACGUAUGUUUGCAAAAAACGUAAUGCGACACAAAUUAUCUGCUGGGAUGUAAGAGCAUGUCCUCAAUGGGUGACGUAACUGGCAUGAGGACUGAUAAGGU